rnacentral:rRNA from 1 species
GGAGUUAGGAAAUGUAGGUACGCUAAUAUCGUAUCUAUUUGACAAAGGCUCCAAAGGAAGCCACGGCUAACUCUGUGCCAGCAGCCGCGGUAAUACAGAGGUGGCAAGCGUUGUUCGGAAUUAUUGGGCGUAAAGAGCACGUAGGUGGAUUUGUAAGUCAGAUGUGAAAGCCUUCUGUUCAACGGGAGAAUUGCAUCUGAAACUACAGACCUUGAGUAUAGGAGGGGAGAGUGGAACUUCUGGU